UACAGAGGGUGCAAGCGUUAAUCGGAAUUAUUGGGCGUAAAGGGCGCGUAGGCGGCUUUGCAAGUGACGGGUGAAAGCCCUCGGCUUAACCGAGGAACUGCCUGUCAGACUGUAAGGCUUGAGACCGGGAGAGGUGAGUGGAAUUCCGCGUGUAGCAGUGAAAUGCGUAGAGAUGCGGAGGAACACCGAUGGCGAAGGCAGCCCCCUGGGCCAACACUGACGCUCAGGCACGAAAGCGUGGGGAGCAAACAGG
rnacentral:rRNA from 1 species